ACGAAUCGCAUGGCCUUGUGCCGGCGAUGGUUCAUUCAAAUUUCUGCCCUAUCAACUUUCGAUGGUAGGAUAGUGGCCUACCAUGGUUUCAACGGGUAACGGGGAAUUAGGGUUCUAUUCCGGAGAGGGAGCCUGAGAAACGGCUACCACAUCCAAGGAAGGCAGCAGGCGCGCAAAUUACCCAAUCCCGACACGGGGAGGUAGUGACAAUAAAUACUGAUACAGGGCUCUUUUGGGUCUUGUAAUUGGAAUGAGUACAAUUUAAAUCCCUUAACGAGGAACAAUUGGAGGGCAAGUCUGGUGCCAGCAGCCGCGGUAAUUCCAGCUCCAAUAGCGUAUAUUAAAGUUGUUGCAGUUAAAAAGCUCGUAGUUGAACCUUGGGCCUGGCUGGCCGGUCCGCCUCACCGCGUGCACUGGUCCGGCCGGGCCUUUCCUUCUGGGGAGCCGCAUGCCCUUCACUGGGUGUGUCGGGGAACCAGGACUUUUACUUUGAAAAAAUUAGAGUGUUCAAAGCAGGCCUAUGCUCGAAUACAUUAGCAUGGAAUAAUAGAAUAGGACGUGUGGUUCUAUUUUGUGGUUUCUAGGACCGGCGUAUUGAUUAAUAGGGAUAGUCCGGGGGCAUCAGUAUUCAAUUGUCAGAGGUGAGAUUCUUGGUUUAUGGAAGACUAACUAUGG
rnacentral:rRNA from 1 species